rnacentral:rRNA from 1 species
AUUGAACGCUGGCGGCAGGCUUAACACAUGCAAGUCGAGCGGAGAUGAGGUGCUUGCACCUUAUCUUAGCGGCGGACGGGUGAGUAAUGCUUAGGAAUCUGCCUAUUAGUGGGGGACAACAUUCCGAAAGGAAUGCUAAUACCGCAUACGUCCUACGGGAGAAAGCAGGGGAUCUUCGGACCUUGCGCUAAUAGAUGAGCCUAAGUCGGAUUAGCUAGUUGGUGGGGUAAAGGCCUACCAAGGCGACGAUCUGUAGCGGGUCUGAGAGGAUGAUCCGCCACACUGGGGCUGAGACACGGCCCAGACUCCUACGGGAGGCAGCAGUGGGGAAUAUUGGACAAUGGGGGGAACCCUGAUCCAGCCAUGCCGCGUGUGUGAAGAAGGCCUUAUGGUUGUAAAGCACUUUAAGCGAGGAGGAGGCUACUGAGACUAAUACUCUUGGAUAGUGGACGCUACUCGCAGAAUAAGCACCGGCUAACUCUGUGCCAGCCGCCGCGGUAACAC